rnacentral:lncRNA from 1 species
CUGGGCUCGCCACUUCCGGCUUGCUCGGCCAAGAUGGCAGCGGCAGUGCCGCUCGCAGCCCUUCCGCUUCCUCCUAGACUGGCGGCGUGCAAUGGCUCCUGCAGGUGCAGGCGCCGCGGGGAGUGUGUGCGUGUGCCUGGGGGAAACGCUGCAAGCAGCCAUUCCGGGUGGGGAAGCUCCUCUGUUCAAGAAAUAGCACAGAACCGAGUCCGGGCAUAUUCUUUUAGUAAGUGAUUAUGCCUGCACAUAGACAAGGCUGGAAUGGUGAGUUAGAAGAGAAGGGCCCCAACAGGAGACUAGGGAAAAUAAAAAUUUUCUGGACAAUGAA